AUAAAUAUAAAUAUAAAUAUAAAUAUAAAUAUAUACUUAUAUAAAAGGCGAGAUGAUUGAAAAUUUUGAUGAUGGAGAAAAUAUGAUUUCAUAGGGUUUUAACUAAUAUAAUAUAAAGACAAGGAUAUUAAAGGCAUAUGCCAUUCUUAACUAGAAAUAGUUUAAUAAAAAUUUAAUGAAUUGAGACAUCUAAGUAAUUAAAUUAAUAAAAUCAAUAGAGAAAUAUAGAGUAAUGGCGAAUGAAAUAUAUUAAGUUUAUAAGUAAUUGUAAAUACAAUGAAUAUAAUAGUUUAUCAACUAUUAAAACUAAUAAUAUUAUAUUAAGUAAAAGUACCGUAAGGGAAAGAAUAAAUAAUUAUAUAGAACCCACGCCGACUUUGUCGGCGUGGUGUAUAAUUUAUUUUACUAAAUGGAAUCAUAAAGAGCAAAUAUAGUAUAUUGUACCUCUUGUAUAAUGGGUCAGUGAGUUAUAAUUAUAAGCGUAAUUAUUAAAUUAAAUAUAAAUAGUUAAAUAAAUAUUUUAAGUUGAUAAAAAAUUAAAGUUUAUAGUUAUAGACCCGAAAGUAGACGAUCUAUACAUAUUCAUGUUUAAUAUUAAAGAGAGAACUCCUUGUGGACAAUGUCGGCAAGGGGAAGACAAGGAUAAUAUUAAGACAUAAGUAGUUGGUGUAGCAACACCAUUAUAAGAAAUAUGUAUCGUAGUGAAAGACAAAUCUGGUUUACAGAUAGCUGGUUUUCUAUGAAAUGUAUUUUAGUACAAUUUAUAUCUAUUUUAUAUUACUGGUAUAGCACUUAUUAUAUUUUAGGCGUUAUUAUUACUUACUAAAUAUAAUUAAUCUCAUAAUAAGUAUAAUAUAAAUAUAUUAUAUUCAAUAAAAAUAAAUACCCCUCGCCAUAGAGUGACUACGGUCCGCAAGGGGAUGAAUAAUAAUAAUAUUAAAGAUAUAAUUACAGUCUUAUUGCGAUAAGGUAGUAAGACGAGAAGAAAACAAUCAAGACUACAUACUGAAAACCCUUAAUUUAUAAUUAAGUGUUUAUGAUAUAUUAUUUAUUAAAGACUAAUAGACAGUUGGCUUAGCAAUAUCCACCUGAUAAUGAACAUGUAACAAUGCACUAUUUAGAUAAUUUAUAAUAUAAUUGAUUUACGGGACUAAAUUAUAAGUUGAAGUAUAGAUAUAUUAUAUAUAUUAAUUUAUAUAUAUAUAUAUAAUAUAUGGUAAUAGAACAUAUAGUAAUAACUAUAAUGAAUAUGCUGACUUGAGUAAUGAAAGAAAGUAAUGGACUUUCCUCCAUAAUCAUAAGGUUUUAAUAUAUUAAUUAACGGCUUCUAAGUUUAUAAUUGAAAAAUUAUAAAUAAUGAAAAAAUAAGAUAAAAUAAAUACGAACCGUACUGUAGACCGACACAGGUAUGAUAAAGGAGAACGAUAGAACUAUAGAGAAGGAACUCGGCAAAAGAAUAAAUUUCAUUAAGUGUGCAACUGUUUACCAAAAACACAGCUAAUUGCAGUUAUCAUAGAUAAUAGUAUAAUUAGUGAUAUCUGCCCAGUGUAAGUUAUAAUAAUAAAUAAUAAACUUAUAAACGGCGGUCUUAUCAUGAGGAUCCUAAGGUAGCGAAAUACCUUGUCACAUAAUUGGUGACGCGCAUGAAUGAAUAAAUGAUGCACUAACUGUCUCCUCUGUAAUAUCGAUGAAAUAGUAAUCGUAGUGAAGAUACUAUGUAAUGGUACAUUGACAAAAAGACCCUAGCAGCUUUACUAUAUUUUAAUAUUGAUAUAUUUUAUUUUAUAAGUUUCUUAAUUUUUAUAAAAUUAUAUCUAAUCUUUAAUUCCUUAUUUUAAGGUUUGAAACAUUAUUAAUUUGUUAGUUUCGAUGGGGCGUCGACAUCACAAAAUAUAACUGAUGUGUCUAAUUGUAAUUUAUACAAUAUUCAUAAUAUUUUUAUUAAUUCCCCUCGCCGCCUCUUACGAAGUAAGAGUCGGCGAGAGGUUAUUUUAAUAAAUUAUAAUGAUAUAAUAGUAAUUUAUAUACACAUUUACUUAUAAAGCAAAUAAGUUAUAUUGUAAAAUAGCAUAAGUGUAUAAUAAUAUUAAUAUAAACAUAUAUUAAUAAUACGUAAGUAUAGUAUAUUGAACAGACAUAAGCAUAUGAUAAGCAUGUCGAUAACGGAUUAAAGUUACGCUAGGGAUAACAGGGUAAUACCGCUAGAGAGUUGAUAUCGUCAGCGGUGUUUGCCACCUCGAUGUCGUCUAGACUCAUCCUCUCGACAGCAGCAGUUGGGAAGGGUAUGACUGUUCGUCAUUUAAAGAGUUACUUGAGAUGGGUUAAUUACGACGUGAGUCAGUAAUGGUUUUAUCAUGUAUCAUAUUAUAUAUAUUAUAUAUAAUCCAGUGUACGAAAGGAUUAGGAUUAAAUUAUCAAUGGUUUAUAUAGAUAAUAAUUAAAAUAUUUCUUUAUUUUAAUUACUUUCUUGUUCGCUAAAUAAUUAUUUUUAUAUACUGAACGCAUCUAAAGUAUUAAAUAUUAUAUAAUAUAUAUUAAACAUUAUAGAUAAUAAUGUAAUAGUUAUUAUAAUAACAAUUAUAAAAACUAAUUAAUAUAUCCAUCAUCAUAACAAUCAUAUCUCUUAA
rnacentral:rRNA from 1 species